rnacentral:lncRNA from 1 species
GCAAAAAUUUUACAUGUACCUUAACUCAAUGUACUUUUACAUGAACUCAAUUUAUGUAUAUUUACGUGAACUUAGAUGAAGUACACAUUUCUCCUACUAAUUGCAAAAUUUUGCAUAUAGUAAACUAAGUUUAUGUACAUUUACGUGAAUUGAGUUUAAUAUUCACUUUCAUUAUUUACUACAAACUUUUGCAGAUAUUUAAAUUAAAUUUAAAUAUAUUGACGCAAACUCAAUUUAUGUACAUUUAUAUUAACUGAGAUUAAGUACGUAUUUCUCCUAAUCAUGAUAAAAUAUUACAAACAUGAACACGAAAUAUAUAAGAGUAUGUAAUUUACGUUUACAUACAAUAUAUAAUUUACCAGAUAUAUAAAAUGAUAAAUUUUUGGAUUUGUUAAUGGUACACGCGCAAAUGGACAGCCCAUACAGCUUCAUCGUCUUCACCCGAUUAGUAGUAAACGGGCCGCACAUAUCGAC